AGAACGAACGCUGGCGGCAUGCCUAACACAUGCAAGUCGAACGAAGCCUUCGGGCUUAGUGGCGCACGGGUGCGUAACGCGUGGGAAUCUACCCUUCGGUUGGGAAUAACACAGAGAAAUUUGUGCUAAUACCUUAUAAUGUCUACGGACCAAAGAUUUAUCGCCGAGGGAUGAGCCCGCGUAGGAUUAGCUAGUUGGUGGGGUAAUGGCCUACCAAGGCGACGAUCCUUAGCUGGUCUGAGAGGAUGAUCAGCCACACUGGGACUGAGACACGGCCCAGACUCCUACGGGAGGCAGCAGUGGGGAAUAUUGGACAAUGGGCGAAAGCCUGAUCCAGCAAUGCCGCGUGAGCGAUGAAGGCCUUAGGUUGUAAAGCUCGUUUACCCGGAUGAUAAUGACAGUACCGGAGAAUAAGCUCCGACUAACGUCCGUCGCCAGCAGCCGAC
rnacentral:rRNA from 1 species